UCAGCUAUUGCUCAGAAGACAGUGACUC
rnacentral:piRNA from 1 species